rnacentral:tRNA from 1 species
UCCCAGGUGGCUCGGUAGUAAAGAAUCUGCCUGUAAUGCAGGAGACACAGGUUUGAAACCUGGAUUGGGAA